rnacentral:rRNA from 1 species
GACGAACGCUGGCGGCGUGCCUAAUACAUGCAAGUUGAGCGCUGAAGGUUGGUACUUGUACCAACUGGAUGAGCAGCGAACGGGUGAGUAACGCGUGGGGAAUCUGCCUUUGAGCGGGGGACAACAUUUGGAAACGAAUGCUAAUACCGCAUAAAAACUUUAAACACAAGUUUUAAGUUUGAAAGAUGCAAUUGCAUCACUCAAAGAUGAUCCCGCGUUGUAUUAGCUAGUUGGUGAGGUAAAGGCUCACCAAGGCGAUGAUACAUAGCCGACCUGAGAGGGUGAUCGGCCACAUUGGGACUGAGACACGGCCCAAACUCCUACGGGAGGCAGCAGUAGGGAAUCUUCGGCAAUGGACGAAAGUCUGACCGAGCAACGCCGCGUGAGUGAGAAGGUUUUCGGAUCGUAAAACUCUGUUGGUAGAGAAGAACGUUGGUGAGAGUGGAAAGCUCAUCAAGUGACGGUAACUACCCAGAAAGGGACGGCUAACUACGUG